UCUCCUUGAGGGGUCUUGGCCUCUGCCCAGGACUCUUUCAUGACCAGUAGGCCGAGGCCCCUCACAGGCGGC
rfam:Ovis aries breed Texel chromosome 18, whole genome shotgun sequence.